ACGGGUGAGUAAUACAUCGGAACGUGCCCAAUCGUGGGGGAUAACGCAGCGAAAGCUGUGCUAAUACCGCAUACGAUCUACGGAUGAAAGCAGGGGAUCGCAAGACCUUGCGCGAAUGGAGCGGCCGAUGGCAGAUUAGGUAGUUGGUGAGGUAAAGGCUCACCAAGCCUUCGAUCUGUAGCUGGUCUGAGAGGACGACCGGCCACACUGGGACUGAGACACGGCCCAGACUCCUACGGGAGGCAGCAGUGGGGAAUUUUGGACAAUGGGCGAAAGCCUGAUCCAGCCAUGCCGCGUGCAGGAUGAAGGCCUUCGGGUUGUAAACUGCUUUUGUACGGAACGAAACGGUCUUUUCUAAUAAAGAAGGCUAAUGACGGUACCGUAAGAAUAAGCACCGGCUAACUACGUGCCAGCAGCCGCGGUAAUACGUAGGGUGCAAGCGUUAAUCGGAAUUACUGGGCGUAAAGCGUGCGCAGGCGGUGAUGUAAGACAGUUGUGAAAUCCCCGGGCUCAACCUGGGAACUGCAUCUGUGACUGCAUCGCUGGAGUACGGCAGAGGGGGAUGGAAUUCCGCGUGUAGCAGU
rnacentral:rRNA from 1 species